rnacentral:rRNA from 1 species
ACGGAAGGCAGCAGUGGGGAAUAUUGCACAAUGGGCGAAAGCCUGAUGCAGCGACGCCGCGUGAGUGAUGAAGUAUUUCGGUAUGUAAAGCUCUAUCAGCAGGGAAGAUAAUGACGGUACCUGACUAAGAAGCACCGGCUAAAUACGUGCCAGCAGCCGCGGUAAUACGUAUGGUGCAAGCGUUAUCCGGAUUUACUGGGUGUAAAGGGAGCGCAGGCGGUACGGCAAGUCUGAUGUGAAAGCCCGGGGCUCAACCCCGGUACUGCAUUGGAAACUGUCGAACUAGAGUGUCGGGGGGGUAAGUGGAAUUCCUAGUGUAGCGGUGAAAUGCGUAGAUAUUAGGAGGAACACCAGUGGCGAAGGCGACUUACUGGACGAUAACUGACGCUGAGGCUCGAAAGCGUGGGGAGCAAACAGGAUUAGAUACCCUGGUA